AUGAGCUAUGACUUUCAUUCCAAAGUUCUGCUUUGCUCCAGGUUCACGUAUAUACAGGAAAUUGAUGACAAGGCAGUGCUAUCCCACGCCGUGCUUCAGAGUAGUGUGUUUAUCAGCAGACAGUCUGGCAGACGGACCUGGGGAAGCACAUACCAGCUCUGCACGGCAGCAAACAGCCUCCAACUUGGGCAGUGGCAUCCAGGAGCCGUCCCCCUGGGGCAGUGGCAUCCAGGUAUUCUACGAGGUGCUCAGGCUGCCAGCAUGAAGUCCAAAUGUACUGCUUCUCCUCUUUUUUGCUCCCCGUGGAAGUUAUAUAUCUCAUAGCCUUUGUUCUGGUCCUGAUACCACUUUCACCAGUCAUUCUGUUUCAUUGUGUUCUCCUUCCAGAAAGGGAGUCAGUCAAUUAAUGAAUCCUUUGAUUAUCCUAAAUAACUUACCAAUAUAUAUAAUUCAAAUAAACUGGAUUUGUGAAAGGGUAAAGCCA
rnacentral:lncRNA from 1 species